UACGGAGGGUGCGAGCGUUGUCCGGAAUCACUGGGCGUAAAGGGCGCGUAGGCGGCCUGAUAAGUAGGGGGUGAAAUCCUGCGGCUUAACCGCAGGGCUGCCUUCUAAACUGUCAGGCUUGAGCACGGUAGAGGCAGAUGGAAUUCCCGGUGUAGCGGUGGAAUGCGUAGAGAUCGGGAGGAACACCUAUGGCGAAGGCAGCUCGCUGGGACGUUACUGACGCUGAGACGCGAAAGCGUGGGGAGCAAACAGG
rnacentral:rRNA from 1 species